rnacentral:rRNA from 1 species
UACGUAGGUGGCGAGCGUUGUCCGGAAUUACUGGGCGUAAAGCGCGUGUAGGCGGGAGGGCAAGUCUGUGGUGAAAUCGCUCGGCUUAACUGGGCGGGGUCCAUGGAAACUGGUCACCUGGAGGUCGGUAGAGGCAAGUGGAAUUCCCGGUGUAGUGGUGAAAUGCGUAGAGAUCGGGAGGAACACCAGUGGCGAAGGCGGCUUGCUGGGCCGGACCUGACGCUGAGACGCGAAGGCGUGGGGAGCGAACGGG